UACGGGGGGGGCAAGCGUUGUUCGGAAUUACUGGGCGUAAAGGGCUCGUAGGCGGCCAACUAAGUCAGACGUGAAAUCCCUCAGCUUAACUGGGGAACUGCGUCUGAUACUGGAUGGCUUGAGUUCGGGAGAGGGAUGCGGAAUUCCAGGUGUAGCGGUGAAAUGCGUAGAUAUCUGGAGGAACACCGGUGGCGAAGGCGGCAUCCUGGACCGACACUGACACUGAGGAGCGAAAGCCAGGGGAGCAAACGGG
rnacentral:rRNA from 1 species